UACAGAGGUCCCAAGCGUUGUUCGGAUUCACUGGGCGUAAAGGGUGCGUAGGUGGUGAGGUAAGUCGGAUGUGAAAUCUCCGGGCUCAACCCGGAAAUGGCAUUGGAAACUACCUUGCUGGAGGAUUUGAGGGGGGAUUGGAAUACUUGGUGUAGCAGUGAAAUGCGUAGAUAUCAAGUGGAACACCAGUGGCGAAGGCGAAUCCCUGGAAAAUACCUGACACUGAGGCACGAAAGCUAGGGGGGCAAACAGG
rnacentral:rRNA from 1 species